CACGUAGGCGGCUUACUAAGUCAGGGGUGAAAUCCUGGAGCUCAACUCCAGAACUGCCUUUGAUACUGGUAAGCUCGAGUCCGGGAGAGGUGAGUGGAACUGCGAGUGUAGAGGUGAAAUUCGUAGAUAUUCGCAAGAACACCAGUGGCGAAGGCGGCUCACUGGCCCGGUACUGACGCUGAGGUGCGAAAGCGUGGGAGCAAACA
rnacentral:rRNA from 1 species